UUGAACGCUGGCGGUAUGCUUUACACAUGCAAGUCGAACGGCAGCACGGGGGCAACCCUGGUGGCGAGUGGCGCACGGGUGAGUAACAUAUCGGAACAUAUCCGGAAGUGGGGGAUAACGUAGCGAAAGUUACGCUAAUACCGCAUAUGCCCUGAGGGGGAAAGGGGGGGAUUGCAAGACCUCUCGCUUUCGGAGUGGCCGAUAUCGGAUUAGCUAGAUGGUGAGGUAAAGGCUCACCAUGGCGACGAUCCGUAGCUGGUCUGAGAGGACGACCAGCCACACUGGAACUGAGACACGGUCCAGACGCCUACGGGAGGCAGCAGUGGGGAAGUUUGGACAAUGGGCGCAAGCCUGAUCCAGCCAGACCGCGUGAGUGAAGAAGGCCUUCGGGUUGUAAAGCUCUUUCAGCCGGAAAGAAAUCGCACUGGUUAAUACCUUGUGUGGAUGACGGUACCGGAAGAAGAAGCACCGGCUAACUACGU
rnacentral:rRNA from 1 species